AGGUCACCUUGGUUAUGCAACGGUCCUCAUAGUUACUUUCGAUUUCGUUCGGGGGGUUCUGUUUUGUCUCAGUCUGUUGUUCAGAUCUUGUUCUUCAGCAUUUUAGACCGUCUGAACAAACUGUGAAGGUAGAAAGUGUGUGUGAACUGAUGUGGAUGUGAAUUCAGCAGCAUGGGUCAGUGUGAGGUCAAAGAGGAGGAAGUCCCUCCCUCUAAAACCACUCUGUGUGGGGAAGCUGAGAGCCAGAGCCACGAUCAGAGGACUCCUAAUAGACUGACACAUAAACAUCAACCAGAACCAGAUCCCAGCUGUGUGUCCUUUAAAAGCGAUGAUUCAAAGGAUCUUCUUAUUUACUUCAAACCUUCUGGACCUGCGUCCUCAGAGAGAGUGGACCAGCAGAACUCAGAGGUUCCCAGAGGUCCGUCUGCC